GACGUAGGGGGCGAGCGUUAUCCGGAUUCACUGGGCGUAAAGGGCGCGUAGGCGGCUGCGCAAGUCCGGCGUGAAAGGCCACGGCUCAACCGUGGACUGCCGUCGGAUACUGCGCUGGCUUGAGGACGGUAGAGGUCGGCGGAACUAGCGGUGUAGCGGUGAAAUGCGCAGAUAUCGCUAGGAACGCCGGUGGCGAAGGCGGCCGGCUGGGCCGUUCCUGACGCUGAGGCGCGAAAGCUAGGGGAGCGAACCGG
rnacentral:misc_RNA from 1 species